rnacentral:rRNA from 1 species
CAAUGAUUUUAUUUAAUGGCCGCGGUAUUUUGACCGUGCAAAGGUAGCAUAAUCAUUAGCUUAUUGAAUAUAAGAUUGAAUGAAUGGUUGGACGAAAUAUUAACUGUCUUCAUUUUAAUAAUUAUAAUUUAAUUUUUGAGUUAAAAAGCUUAAAUUUUUUUAGAGGACGAGAAGACCCUAUAGAUCUUUAUUUUUAUUUUUUAUUAAUUUUUAGUUUAUUUUUAUUUUUUAUAUUAUAAAUUUUUUGUUGGGGUGACAUUUGGAUAUAAUUAACUCUUUAUUUUUUUUUUCAUUUAUUUAUGUUUAGUUGAUUUUUUAUUAUUUUUAUAAGAAAUAGAUACCUUAGGGAUAACAGCGUAAUUCUUUUUGAGAGUUCAUAUUGACAUAAGAGAUUGCGACCUCGAUGUUGAAUUAAGAUUAUUAUUAGGUGUAGUAGCUUAUUUGUUAGGUCUGUUCGACCUUUAAAUUCUUACAUGAUCUGAGUUCAA